UUAGAAGAUAAUCAGGAAUUUUGGAAGCCCUGCCUCAAAACUGGGGGUGUGGAAAAAUCAACAAAAUCGGGACAAAAAUCACAAUUUUGGGGCUUUUUUCGGCAAUUUUGGAGCUUUUUUAUGGCAUUUUUUGGGCAUUUUUUGGUCAAUUUUUGAGCAUUUUUGGGCCAUUUUUUGAGCUUUUCUUUUGCCUUUUUUGGGCCAUUUUUGAGCUUUUUUAAGGCAAUUUUUGGGUA
rnacentral:lncRNA from 1 species